GGGCCGGUAGCUCAGUCCGGCAGAGCGUCUGGCUCUUAACCAGACGGUCGCGCGUUCAAAUCGCGUCCGGCCCG
rnacentral:tRNA from 1 species